AGUCAUUAGAAAAAUGUGAUCAACGUAAGAAAGCUGUAUGUGCAGUCUGAUUAUUUUGAAGACUGAGGCUU
rnacentral:snoRNA from 1 species